rnacentral:rRNA from 1 species
GAUGAACGCUAGCGGCAGGCCUAACACAUGCAAGCCGAGGGGCAGCGGGAAAGUAGCUUGCUACUUUUGCCGGCGACCGGCGCACGGGUGCGUAACGCGUAUGUAACCUACCUUAAACAGGGGCAUAACACUGAGAAAUUGGUACUAAUUCCCCAUAACACUUUGAGAGGCAUCUUUUGAAGUUGAAAGUUCCGGCGGUUUAAGAUGGACAUGCGUUGUAUUAGUUAGUUGGUGAGGUAACGGCUCACCAAGACGACGAUACAUAGGGGGACUGAGAGGUUAACCCCCCACAUUGGUACUGAGACACGGACCAAACUCCUACGGGAGGCAGCAGUGAGGAAUAUUGGUCAAUGGACGCAAGUCUGAACCAGCCAUGCCGCGUGCAGGAAGACGGCUCUAUGAGUUGUAAACUGCUUUUGUAUGAGGGUAAACCUAGGUACGUGUACCUAGCUGAAAGUAUCAUACGAAUAAGGAUCGGCUAACUCCGUGCCAGCCGCCGCAGUAAUAC